rnacentral:rRNA from 1 species
AUUGAACGCUGGCGGAAUGCUUUACACAUGCAAGUCGAACGGCAGCACGGACUUCGGUCUGGUGGCGAGUGGCGAACAGGUGAGUAAUGUAUCGGAACGUGCCCAGUCGUGGGGGAUAACGUAGUGAAAAUUACGCUAAUACCGCAUACGAUCUAUGGAUGAAAGCGGGGGAUCGCAAGACCUCGCGCGAUUGGAGCGGCCGAUAUCAGAUUAGGUAGUGGGUGGGGUAAAGGCCCACCAAGCCAACGAUCUGUAGCUGGUCUGAGAGGACGACCAGACACACUGGAACUGAGACACGGUCCAGACUCCUACGGGAGGCAGCAGUGGGGAAUUUUGGACAAUGGGCGAAAGCCUGUUCCAGCCAUUCCGCGUGCAGGAUGAAGGCCCUCGGGUUGUAAACUGCUUUUGUACAGAACGAAAAGGUUUCUACUAAUACUAGGAGCUCAUGACGGUACUGUAAGAAUAAGCACCGGCUAACUACGUGCCAGCCGCCGCGGUAA